ncrna:unclassified sequences RT-2 RNA
CUGGGUCAAAUGCAGUAACGAACGUGAACCGGACCCAUGUAAAAGGAAAGAUACUUCCCUGGCGAAAGCCUGAAACUGCCCGCUGAUGAUCCCGCGCGGACGCUGCUUGCAUGGCGGGGGUAUUGUGCUAACCCCGUUUCAUGCGCUGGAUCGAAGCAGUUUAGACGCACACCAACACCAUAACUGUACGGAGGGCGAAUACUUUUCUAUGACAAG